rnacentral:rRNA from 1 species
GCGCGCCUAACACAUGCAGUCGAACGAGCGAGAGAGAGCUUGCUUUCUCGAGCGAGUGGCGAACGGGUGAGUAACGCGUGAGGAACCUGCCUCAAAGAGGGGGACAACAGUUGGAAACGACUGCUAAUACCGCAUAAGCCCACGGCUCGGCAUCGAGCAGGGGGAAAAGGAGUGAUCCGCUUUGAGAUGGCCUCGCGUCCGAUUAGCUAGUUGGUGAGGUAACGGCCCACCAAGGCGACGAUCGGUAGCCGGACUGAGAGGUUGAACGGCCACAUUGGGACUGAGACACGGCCCAGACUCCUACGGGAGGCAGCAGUGGGGAAUAUUGCACAAUGGGGGAAACCCUGAUGCAGCGACGCCGCGUGGAGGAAGAAGGUCUUCGGAUUGUAAACUCCUGUUGUUGGGGAAGAUAAUGACGGUACCCAACAAGGAAGUGACGGCUAACUACGUGCCAGCAGCCGCGGUAAAACGUAGGUCACAAGCGUUGUCCGGAAUUACUGGGUGUAAAGGGAGCGCAGGCGGGAAGACAAGUUGGAAGUGAAAUCUAUGGGCUCAACCCAUAAACUGCUUUCAAAACUGUUUUUCUUGAGUAGUGCAGAGGUAGGCGGAAUUCCCGGUGUAGCGGUGGAAUGCGUAGAUAUCGGGAGGAACACCAGUGGCGAAGGCGGCCUACUGGGCACCAACUGAC